AUAUUACUCCCUCCGUCCCAAAAUUCAUGUCUUAGAUUUGUCUAGAUACGGAUGUAUCUAAUACUAAGACAUGACUUGAUACAUCCAUAUUUAGACAAAUGUAAGACACGAAUUUUGGGACGGAGGGAGUACGAG
rfam:Triticum aestivum genome assembly, contig: Triticum_aestivum_CS42_TGACv1_scaffold_329443_4BS